rnacentral:rRNA from 1 species
AUUGAACGCUGGCGGAAUGCUUUACACAUGCAAGUCGAACGGCAGCACGGGUGCUUGCACCUGGUGGCGAGUGGCGAACGGGUGAGUAAUAUAUCGGAACGUAUCCAAUAAUGGGGGAUAACUAGCCGAGAGGUUAGCUAAUACCGCAUACGCCCUGAGGGGGGAAGCUGGGGAUCGUAAGACCUAGCGUUGAUGGAGCGGCCGAUAUCUGAUUAGCUAGUUGGUGGGGUAAGAGCCUACCAAGGCGACGAUCAGGAGCUGGUCUGAGAGGGCGUCCAGCCAAAAUGGAACUGAGACACGGUCCAGACUCCUACGGAGGGAAGCAGUGGGGGAUUUUGGACAAUGGGGGCAACCCUGAUCCAGCCAUUCCGCGUGAGUGAAGAAGGCCUUCGGGUUGUAGAGCUCUUUCGCAAGGGAAGAAAACUCGAUCUCUAAUAUAGGUUGAGGCUGACGGUACCUUGAUAAGAAGCACCGGCUAACUACGUGCCAGCAGCCGCUGUAA